rnacentral:sRNA from 4 species
AUAUCUCUCUGUACGGGAAGGAUGAGAAGCUUCGACUAAGGUUCGAUUCGAGCGUCAGCGAGAAAGCGUUGCCGCAGGCAACGACCCGAAGGGCGAAGCGCGCAGCGCUGAGUC